rnacentral:rRNA from 1 species
UACAGAGGGGGCAAGCGUUGUUCGGAAUUACUGGGCGUAAAGGGCGCGUAGGCGGCCCUCUAAGUCGAACGUGAAAUCCCCGGGCUCAACCCGGGAACUGCGUCCGAUACUGGAAGGCUUGAAUCCGGGAGAGGGAUGCGGAAUUCCAGGUGUAGCGGUGAAAUGCGUAGAUAUCGGAAGGAACAUCAGUGGCGAAAGCGACUUCCUGGACCAAUACUGACGCUCAUGUGCGAAAGCGUGGGGAGCAAACAGG